UCAAAGAUUAAGCCAUGCAUGUCUAAGUAUAAGCAAUUAUACGGCGAAACUGCGAAUGGCUCAUUAUAUAAGUUAUCGUUUAUUUGAUAGUACCUCACUACUUGGAUAACUGUGGUAAUUCUAGAGCUAAUACAUGCUAAAAAUCCCAACUUCGGAAGGGAUGUAUUUAUUAGAUUAAAAACCAAUGCCCUCUGGGCUCUCUGGUGAUUCAUGAUAACUUCUCGAAUCGCAUGGCCUUGCGCCGGCGAUGGUUCAUUCAAAUUUCUUCCCUAUCAACUUUCGAUGUUUGGGUAGUGGCCAAACAUGGUUGCAACGGGUAACGGAGGGUUAGGGCUCGACCCCGGAGAAGGAGCCUGAGAAACGGCUACUACAUCCAAGGAAGGCAGCAGGCGCGCAAAUUACCCAAUCCCGAUUCGGGGAGGUAGUGACAAUAAAUACUGAUACAGGGCUCUUUUGGGUCUUGUAAUCGGAAUGAGUACAAUUUAAAUCCCUUAACGAGGAACAAUUGGAGGGCAAGUCUGGUGCCAGCAGCCGCGGUAAUUCCAGCUCCAAUAGCGUAUAUUAAAGUUGUUGUGGUUAAAAAGCUCGUAGUUGAACCUUGGGCCUGGCUGGCCGGUCCGCCUCACCGCGUGUACUGGUCCGGCCGGGCCUUUCCCUCUGUGGAACCCCAUGCCCUUCACUGGGUGUGGCGGGGAAACAGGACUUUUACUUUGAAAAAAUUAGAGUGCUCCAGGCAGGCCUAUGCUCGAAUACAUUAGCAUGGAAUAAUGAAAUAGGACGUGCGGUUCUAUUUUGUUGGUUUCUAGGACCGCCGUAAUGAUUAAUAGGGACAGUCGGGGGCAUCAGUAUUCAAUUGUCAGAGGUGAAAUUCUUGGAUUUAUUGAAGACUAACUACUGCGAAAGCAUUUGCCAAGGAUGUUUUCAUUAAUCAGGAACGAAAGUUAGGGGAUCGAAGACGAUCAGAUACCGUCGUAGUCUUAACCAUAAACUAUGCCGACUAGGGAUCGGACGAUGUUAAUUUUUGACUCGUUCGGCACCUUACGAGAAAUCAAAGUGCUUGGGCUCCAGGGGGAG
rnacentral:rRNA from 1 species